GCAUAUUCAAUGCUCCUUGCUGCUUAUUUCUGGAAUUGAGGUGGCCUCGUGCUUUUAUAGGACAGCAAUUGACACAUUUGCCCUGGCAGCUGAGACAGCCCAUGAGGAAAGACGCUUUGGGGUCCACCUGUCCUAUUUAGAAACAGUUACACAAGACAGAGAAUGCUGAUUCACUAUGCAGUGAAACAUGCCUAACGUGUCAACAGCUAAAUGCCCGGUGACAGUGUGGUUGUCUGGGCAACAGAAGAAGUCACCCACGCAAACACUUAAAGGACCAUACUUAUUUUACAAGAGGAACAGUUUUCAAUGGAAUGGAUAUUAAAACACACACCUGGAUCCCUUUACCACAGGUGCUUUGAGAGGCACCAUCAAGGACAGUGAGCUAACGCAGGUAACUCAGGUAACAGGGCGGUGAGCUAAUGCAGGUAACACAGGUGACAGAGUCAUGGGCUAAUACAGGUAACACAGGGUAGUGAGUUAACUCAAGUAAUAUAGCUAAGCCAGGUAACCCAGCUUACACAGCCAACACCUGGCAGUGGGCUAACACAGUUAACU
rnacentral:lncRNA from 10 species